rnacentral:tRNA from 1 species
CCUAGAAAAAGAAAGAAAAUCCGGUAUUAUCCAUAAAGAUGGUUAUUAAAAAUUUUA